AGUUGUCUUUCAGUUUGAGUUAUGGAUGCUGGGGAGUCACCUUGAUUUUACGGACAGCUCAUUCACACACCUCUCUUGCAACAUGGAUGAUAACUUUGGAGAGAAAUGUCCAGCUAAUUGGAUUGUAAUGUCUUGGACUGAUGUGGCACCUUGACGACCCAGGAACCAUCCAGCUGGCCCCGGAUGGUCUGAAUGGUCCAAACAGCUCUUCACUAUAUCUGUUAACCAGAUGGCACCUUUCCAUUAGCAAUGCCAUUUAAAAGACAAUUUUGUAAGGUUAUCAGACAUCGCUUUUUUUGCUUAUUACUGCUGUUUCAUUGCUCAUAAAAAGUAAAUGACUUGUAAGAACAUUGCUUAGAUAUUGAUUUUUAUUCUUUCUCUUGGAGUCAUUUUAGGAUUUUCAGUAUAAUUGCUUUGAAUUGCUUCACUGUGUUUUAUACUACCCUAACUGGCUUAGUUGGGCUUCACAGGUGGCUUAGUGGUAAGGAAUCCACCUGCUAAUGCAGGAGAUGCAGGUUUGAUCCCUGGGUUGGGAAGAUCCACGGGAGAAGGAAAUGGCUACCUACUCAAAUAUUUUUGCUUGGGAAAUCCCAUGGACAGAGGAGCCUGGUAGGCUACAGUCCAUGGGGUCACAAAAGAGUCGGACAUGACUUAGCUACUAAACAACGACAAACUGGCUUAGUUGGUCUCAGAUUUCAGUUUGUCUCAUGACUAAUAAAAGUUUAUGAAGCUGAACUUUUCCCUGCACUUGAACUAUUUUAUGAGCUCAUAUUUCUCCUACUAAUCCUCUCCCUUGCCCACUUCAUCUGAUUGGUUUCACCUUCCAAUGAAUUCCUCAAUUGAGUUUUAUAAGAAUUGUUCCUGGGGAUUUCCAUGUUGCCUGUGAAAGAGUAAAUUUCAUUUGUGAACUUAUAAUCUGCAGCUAUUACAUUGUGCUAGCUCUCUGAAGUUAUUUUAAAAGACGCUCUUGGUUCUUCUUAAUUUUCAUCUCUUCUCCAGUGCAUAAAUGUAAUUGUUUUUAGAAGCUUCUUCUUGAUCUACAAACAUAAUUCAAGGAAAUACUGAAAAUGACUAUUCUUUUAUUUUGAUUAAUUUAUGACAGCAUCAUAACUUUUAUGGUGUUGUCUUAAAAAAUAAUCACAACCUAAAAUUUGAGAGAUAUAUUUUAUUCGGUAGGAAUUUUUAGGACUUUAAGCGUGGGGGACUUAAAAUCCUAAAAGCAUCUCAAGUAACCCUGAGUGAAGUGCUCAGAGGAGGUGAGGGGAAGAGCCAGGUUAUAUGGAAGUUUUGCAAUAAAGGGCAAGUAGUCUGAACAUUGAAAGAUUAUUGUUAAUUAAAGAAAACCAUCCAGGGAUUCCCUGGUGGCUCAGAUGGUAAAGAAUCUGCCUGCAAUGCGGGAAAUCAGGGUUCCAUCCCUGGCUCGGGAAGAUCCCCUAAAGAAGGAAAUGGCAACCCACUGCAGUAUUCUUGCCUGGAAAAUCCCAUGGACAGGGGAGCCUGCUAAGCUGCAGUUCAUGAGGUUGCAAAGAGUUGGACACGACUGAGAGACUUCACUUUCAUUUCAUUUUGUUUCAUUUCAUAUAUCCCAGUUUAAAGAAUUUAGCGCUUUUCUAAAUAUGGGAAGAGGCAAGCUUCUGGGCUUACCGAAACCACUUCUUUCGUGUGCAUUUCAGCUGUCCUGGGGCCAGUAUCCUGUGCUCUCUUGGGAACUCCCUUGGGUUCGCUCUUGCGAGUGGCUGCAGGUAUUUUUCUCCGUCCUGAGUGCUCUUAGGCUCAUAUUGGAGGGUUGAAAUCACUGAUGACUCUGACAUUCUUAUUUACUGAUAUGGCAGGAAAUAUUUCAUUUCUCAAUGGAAAGUCCCACAGUUUGUGGAAGUAACCUUUCCCUCACUGUUGAUUUCCUUUAGCGUUAUGAAAUGACCAUGAUCAUAAUGGUUAAUUUGUAUGGCCUUGGGCACCUGAGGUUAGUAGAUUUACAUGGGUUGCUCUGCCUCAUUUCAAGUGAGCCAGAAGGCCCAGGUUAACAAAAGCCAGGAGAGGCUUAGAUGGUGGUUACUUUAUGCAAGGUUGAUCUCUUGAGGUAGGUCAGAAGAUUCAGGUCAGCCUCACAAGUCCUCCUGCAGAGCUGCAUUAAUGUAAACCUCUCCUGAUAUUACUUUGAGAUGAGCCUAGUUAGAAGGUUUUAGAUGACCUAUUUGCUAUAUUUAAUUUAAAUUGUUCUUCAUAAGGAAUUGUCAAAUUUCAAAAAAACAACAGGUGGAAUGUUCUGUGAAGCAAUUAUAUAAUUGAAAGAUAUUAAUUCUUUUUACAGUUAGAAUUUCUCUUUAGAGUAAAAAAAACAAACAAAAAAAUGUAAACCUCUUUAUUGCAAAUUAGUGUAUUUCAUUGUAACAGGUUCACAAUUCAUAAAUGCAAAAAGCAAGUGAAAUUUCCCUUUUCAUUUCUUUCUCUACACUGCUUCCCCCAAACCAUUUUUAUAGUUUAGUGGGUAACAAUUUAGACUUCAGUUGUAUAUGUAUAUUACACUAUGCAAACUAUUUUUAUAUUGUUGUUCAGUUGCUAAGUCGUGUCCUACUCUUUUUUUUUUUAACGUGUCCUGCUCUUUGUGACCCUAUGGACUGCAGCAUGCCAGGCUUCCCUGUCCUUCACUUUUCUCAUGGAGUUUGCUCAAAUUCAUGUCCAUUGCAUCAGUGAUGCUAUCUAACCAUCUCAUCCUCUGUCAUCCUUGUCUCCUCCUGCCCUCAAUCUUUCUCAGCAUCAGGGUCUUUUCCAGUGAGUCGGCUCUUCAUAUCAGGUGACCAAAGUUUUGGAGCUUUGAUUUCAGCAUCAGUACUACUGUUAGGGGAAGCACACUGAUUGAAACCGCCCACCCUGGCCAGGCACCAUAGUAACCAUUUGCAUGAGUUGUUUUAUGACAGGAGAUCCUGAUAAGGAAUAUGGAACUAAUAAGCCACCACCAGCCGGAAGAGCUCGGGAAAGGUCGAGAGGAGACACUGCCUGUCCGUCCACUUCCCAGAAUCCCUCUUGCUAGUAUCCAUCUUGGCUGAGCGAUGCGUGCGCCACCAGGAAAGACUCUGAAUUAGAAUGAUUGGCCAAAGACCACCCGGAAACUAAUCCCAUGACCAUAAAACUCAAGACUGCGAGCCAUGUGGCAGAGCAGUUCUCCUGGGUUCCCUUACCUGCUGCUCUCCACCCGAGUGCCCUUCCCAAUAAAAUCCCUUGCUUUGUCA